rnacentral:rRNA from 1 species
GACGAACGCUGGCGGCGUGCCUAAUACAUGCAAGUAGAACGCUGAAGAGAGGAGCUUACUCUUCUUGGAUGAGUUGCGAACGGGUGAGUAACGCGUAGGUAACCUGCCUUGUAGCGGGGGAUAACUAUUGGAAACGAUAGCUAAUACCGCAUAACAAUGGAUGACACAUGUCAUUUAUUUGAAAGGGGCAAUUGCUCCACUACAAGAUGGACCUGCGUUGUAUUAGCUAGUAGGUGAGGUAAUGGCUCACCUAGGCGACGAUACAUAGCCGACCUGAGAGGGUGAUCGGCCACACUGGGACUGGGACACGGCCCAGACUCCUACGGGAGGCAGCAGUAGGGGAUCUUCGGCAAUGGGGGCAACCCUGACCGAGCAACGCCGCGUGGGGGAAGAAGGUUUUCGGAUCGUAAAGCUCUGUUGUAAGUCAAGAACGGGUGUGAGAGUAGAAAGUUCACGCUGUGACGGUAGCUAACCAGAAAGGGACGGCUAACUACGUG